CAAUAGCGUAUAUUUAAGUUGUUGCAGUUAAAAAGCUCGUAGUUGGAUUUCGGUUAAGAGCGACCAGUCCGCCGUUUGGUGUGCACUGGUUGGUUUUAACUUCCUGUAGAGGACGUGCUCUGGGUUUAACGACCUGGACUCGGAGUCUACGUGGUUACUUUGAAAAAAUUAGAGUGUUCAAAGCGGGCUUACGCUUGAAUAUUUCAGCAUGGAAUAACACUAUAGGACUCCUGUCCUAUUUCGUUGGUCUCGGGACGGGAGUAAUGAUUAAGAGGAACAGUUGGUGGCAUUCGUAUUUCAUUGUCAGAGGUGAAAUUCUUGGAUUUAUGAAAGACGAACUUCUGCGAAAGCAUUUGCCAAGGAUGUUUUCAUUAA
rnacentral:rRNA from 1 species